rfam:Cavia porcellus supercont2_34 genomic scaffold, whole genome shotgun sequence.
CACACAUAAUGAAGUUAUUGAUAGUUGGACAGAAAUCAUAUGCUGAUUAUCAUGCUCCAAUUUG